GCAUAGCGGUAUCCUGAGUAACGCGGGACACGAGGAAUCCUGCGCGAAUCUGCCGGGACCAUCCGGUAAGGCUAAAUACUCCCGUGAGACCGAUAGCGAACGAGUACUGUGAAGGAAAGGUGAAAAGAACCCCGAGCAGGGGAGUGAAAUAGUUCCUGAAACCAUACGCCUACAAGCGGUCGGAGCAUCGUAAGAUGUGACGGCGUGCCUUUUGCAUAAUGAUCCUACGAGUUACCGUCACUGGCGAGGUUGAGUGUCAUGAGACACGUAGCCGCAGUGAAAGCGAGCCUGAAGAGGGCGCACAGUCAGUGGGGGUAGACGCGAAACCAAGUGAUCUACACUUGGCCAGGAUGAAGUCCCGGUAACACGGGAUGGAGGUCCGCACCAAUAAGCGUUGAAAAGCUUCUGGAUGAGCCGAGUGUAGGAGUGAAAGGCCAAUCAAACUUGGAGAUAGCUCGUACUCCCCGAAAGGCAUUUAGGUGCCGCGUCGGAUGGUCACCGUGAGAGGUAGAGCGACCGAUAGGACAAGAGGGCUUCACCGCCUAUCGAGUCCUGACGAACUCCGAAUGCUCACGGUCUGCAGUCCGGCAGUAAGGGGGCGGGUGCUAAGGUCCGUCCCCGAGAGGAGAAGAAUCCAGACCGCCGUCUAAGGUCCCGGAGUUCUGCCUGAGUUAGUCUAACGAAGUCUGGUCCCUAUGACAGCUAGGAUGUUGGCUUGGAAGCAGCCAUUCAUUCAAAGAGUGCGUAACAGCUCACUAGUCGAGGGUCCGGGCAUGGAUAAUAAUCGGGUAUAAGGCAGACACCGAAGGCGCGGGAUAGCAAUUAUAAAAGUAUCGGUAGGGGAGCAUACUCACAGCGUCGAAUGGUGUACGUAAGUUAUCCUGGAGCGGUGAGUAAAGCAAAUGUAGGAAUAAGUAACGAUAAGGAGGGUUAGAUUCCCUCCCGCUGUAAGACCAAGGUUUCCCGGGCAAUGCCAAUCAGCCCGGGGUCAGUCGGGUCCUAAGUCUAAGCCGAACGGCGAUGGCGAUGGCAGAGACGGUUAAUAUUCCGUCACUGCCGCAUGGGGCGACGUGGAGACGGAGCAGUGAAACCACCGCGGGGCGACGGAAGUCCCCGUUGAAG
rnacentral:rRNA from 1 species